GAUGAACGCUGGCGGCGUGCCUAAUACAUGCAAGUCGAGCGAACAGACGAGGAGCUUGCUCCUCUGACGUUAGCGGCGGACGGGUGAGUAACACGUGGAUAACCUACCUAUAAGACUGGGAUAACUUCGGGAAACCGGGGCUAAUACCGGAUAAUAUAUUAAACCGCAUGGUUCAAUAGUGAAAGACGGUUUUGCUGUCACUUAUAGAUAGAUCCGCGCCGCAUUAGCUAGUUGGUAAGGUAACGGCUUACCAAGGCGACGAUCCGUAGCCGACCGGAGAGGGUGAUCGGCCACACUGGAACUGAGACACGGUCAAGACUCCUACGGGAGGCAGCAGUAGGGAAUCUUCCGCAAUGGGCGAAAGCCUGACGGAGCAACGCCGCGUGAGUGAUGAAGGUCUUCGGAUCGUAAAACUCUGUUAUUAGGGAAGAACAAAUGUGUAAGUAACUAUGCACGUCUUGACGGUACCUAAUCAGAAAGCCACGGCUAACUACGUG
rnacentral:rRNA from 1 species